rnacentral:lncRNA from 1 species
UUGUUCUUUAAUUUCCCAAAUCUGUAAGAGUUGCUGCAGCUGUGUGCAUCCCAUCAGAGCCGUUAUCCAAAGCAGCAAUUACUGUCUGGUCUGUCCCUCUUGGAGCACAAGGCAAUGCUGCUUCCAGCGGGAGCCAGCUGAGAGCUUGUCCUUAAUUGAGGCAGUUUGUUGGCUGCUCCAGAUCUGGAUACGAACCUCUCAGGCCGAAGACCUUUGCCAGGGUUUCAUUGCUUGCUGUCGCAGGGAACCUGCCCAUGGCUCUGGGACCGGGCACAGAGAGCCCAGGGCAGCGCGUGGUGGUGUGCCUGCUGAGCCCGGGGCUGGAUCUGGCCCACCGUUCUUGCUGUUCCCAAGGCAACUGCAUCUACGUGGUGGGGUCUGCGAGGAGGGACGCUCUGCGAAACACCCUUUGGACCCAGUGGCUCUAAAGAACUUGUGAAUUGGAUGAAGUGCUGUGAUUCCCCAGCAGGGCAACAGAGAAGACCUACGGCAGCUUCUUAUCAUCUUCACUGGCAUCUUUCCCUAAAAGACAUUAAAUGGUUUUUUUUAUUGUUUUGUUUUGGUUUUUUUUUUUUUUUUUCCCAGAACUGGUUGUGGUAACAGUGCAGGAAUGCAAAUAAACAAGUAAAAGUCAUUCUAAUCA